CUUCAUAACAAUACAUAUUUGGAAUCAGCACACUUAAAACAUAAACAUAACCAAAAAUCAGCCAAAUCCAUCCAGGGGUUAAAAAGUUAGCUGGAGGUCCCUUUAUGACCGACCGCAAGCACAUUUUCCUGCCCAAAACAGUUCCAUAGAUUUGGGCUGUGCGGUCGGUCUAUUUCAGGCUGAAAAAACGACUAAGUCCUAUCGCAGCUGAAAUAAGGUUGAUCAUUCGACGAGGUCAGCGGUAUGUGUAGCCAAAUUCAUGGAACUAAAAUUGGCUACACA